CUACGGGAGGCAGCAGUGAGGAAUUUUGCGCAAUGGGGGCAACCCUGACGCAGCAACGCCGCGUGAGUGAAGAAGGCCUUUGGGUCGUAAAGCUCUGUCGACAGGGAAGAAGUUAUUGUUGUUUAACAGAUGACAGUAUUGACGGUACCUGUAGCGGAAGCACCGGCUAGCUCCGUGCCAGCAGCCGCGGUAGAGACGGGGGGUGCAAGCGUUAUUCGGAAUUAUUGGGCGUAAAGGGCGCGUAGGCGGUCUUGUCGGUCAGAUGUGAAAGCCCAGGGCUCAACCCUGGACGUGCAUUUGAAACGGCAAGACGUGAGUACGGGAGAGGAAAGCGGAAUUCCUGGUGUAAAGGUGAAAUUCGUAGAUAUCAGGAGGAACACCGAUGGCGAAGGCAGCUUUCUGGACCGAUACUGACGCUGAGGCGCGAAGGUGUGGGUAGCGAACGGGAUUAGAUACCCCCGUAGUC
rnacentral:rRNA from 1 species